ensembl:sense_intronic Gm37107 predicted gene, 37107
ACAUGCACACGUGUUCAUGCAGGUGUGGCUAUAUGAGUGUAUAUUACCUGGAGGUCCACACUGAAUGUCUUCAAUCGCUCUCCAGCUUAUGUUUUGAGACAUGUCUCUAACUGACCCUAGAGCUCACUAGUUUGACUUGACUGGCAGGCCAGAGAGCUCCAGGAUUCUCCUCUCUUUGAUCUCCAUCACAGGGCUUUUAAACAUGUGAUCCUGUGCGCCUUGUUUUACAUGGCUCCUGGGAAUCUACUCAGGUCCUCAUGCUUGCAUAGUGGGCACAUUACUGACGAAGCCGCCGAAGCCAUCAUCCCAUCCCUGGGCGCUAUUUGCAUUGCAGAAACAAUGUGCUGGCAGCCAACUGUAGGAAAAAGUGCAAGUCUAUACAUUUUAGGAGGGUUGGCUUUUUUUAAAUUGACUAUUAAAAUACUACCUAGCUGAAAGUGCUUGUCUUUGCCUAUCUAUAGAACGCUCUCCCACCCCACCCCCCACACCCAUUUUUGGUAAAUGAGGACACUAGAGUAACAUCUAAGAUGCCUUCCCAGGUCAUAAUAUCUUAGAUGCUUAGGAAAAUCUAAGCAUUGCUUUUGGUGUGUGUAUUCUAGGCAAAUCCUUCAAAUCCACAUCCCAGCGCAGAUUUCCAGCUAAGGGCACAGAGCUUGAUGCUAUGGUCUCUCUUAAUUCUUUUAGGUGUUUUCUGGAGUUUUGACAGUACACUCUGAGAGGCAGCCACCAUGAGACUGUACCUUUUGAAUGGUCAGCGUUUUCCUCAGUCAGAUUUUUACUUAAAUCACUUGACAGUUUCCCUUAACAGCUCACUCCGCUUAGAAAACCUGGGCUCAACGGUUUACAGAUGAUCAUCAGCCCGUGUACAUAAAUGAUGUGCAUGUCUUGAAUAACCAUUACAGCAGACAGAAAGAAAACACACUCAAGGGAUUUAAUGAAAGAGUGGAAAAUUCCAGUUAAAACUAAAUAUUUUCUUUUCGAAGCAGUUUUGCUUUAAAAUACUGUUGUUCAUUUCUUGUAAUGCUCCUGUCUGUAACACAGACUUUAUCAUAUAGUAUUGAUCCUGUUAAAAGCCAGUCACCCAGCUUCUUUUAUAACUCUUCCUUUAUUUGAACAUGGUAUGUUAGAGAAAAUACAUGCUUUGUGAUAUUUAAAGGGAAGUAAGAUUUUAUUUGGCCAAUCAACCUUUAUUGAAUUCUGUUUCUAUAGCAGGAUCCAAAGAUAAGUAACUACUGGUAGUAUAUGUGAAUCUCUCUCUCUCUCUCUCUCUCUCUCUCUCUCUCUCUGUCUGUCUCUCUCAUAUCACUCUCUAAAUUUGACCAAGUUCAUGGUGGGAAACAUUGUGGAGAAGGAAGUGGAAGCAGCUGUUAUAAAAUGUUGGAGAGGAUGGAAGCCAUUAGUGACCUGCAGUUGCAGUGGCCUGUGGGUAGAAGAGAGGAGGAGAAGACCUAGGUUAGUACCCAGGAAGGAUACCUGGGACAAGAAACCUGGUGGGUUGGGCCCAGCUUCAGAGGGGACUAGCUGGAACCUCAUCAUUGGAUGGAGGGAUGAGGAAGGGUGUUUUGUGCCAAAGGGCAAAGCAGGAUGAAAAUGCUGGGCGUGGUUCCUGGGCUGAGACUGUCACCUAACGAACAGGGAGUGACAGGGACAGGCUGAGCAGAGGACUAUUGGUGUGGAGGUUGUACCAUGUGUCCAGGUCAUUUUCUUAUGAAAUAAUGAUAAAUAGCUGCUGCUGCACUCCUCCUCCUCCUCCUCCUCCUCCUCCUCCUUCUCCUCCUCUCCCUCCUCCCUCUCCUCCUCCUUUUUGUCCUCCCCCUCAUUUCCUCCUCUUACUCCUUCCUCUGCCGCUAUGGAACUCAGAUGCCACUCCCAACAUAACCAUACAGUUUUGGGACAUACAGACUAUUCACUACACUUCUUUGUCUUCACUUACGUCUUCUGGGUGGAGGCUUUACAAGCAAAUUCUCUACCCAUGUUCAGGGCCAUAGGCACCCGAUAAAAUUAGUACUAUCACCUAAGUGCAGAAAUCUUGCCUAAUCUCCAUUCCCUGACUCCACGUUCUUCUUUCUCCUUGGCAUUUAUGUCAGGAUCUGUCUUCUCAUUCUAAACAAAGCUCUUCAGAUACAUACUCAUUGUCUUUCCCAUUAUCCUGUAGACAGAGUCCCUGCCAUGCAGUACCUGUCAUGUGGCCUCAGGCUUCUGGCCAGACCUCAGUACUCCCAGAACCGCCUUUUAUCUGAAAAAGAUAAUGACAAAUUUCUUGUUCCUUUAGACUUCUAGUCUUGUAGAUAGAUAGAUAGAUAGAUAGAUAGAUAGAUAGAUAGAUAGAUAGAUAGAUAGAUAGAGAUACAUAUAUACAUAUCUGAAUGUACACACACAUACACUGGGCUGAGUGGAGCAACAGCAUCUUAUCUGUUAUUAAAGGGUUAAUAAAUAUAAUGCAAUGGUCUUUACUUUCCUUGUAUGGACACAGAGAGGGAAACUGGACCACAGAUGGACAGUUCUAAGACAGACUGAGGAAAUCAACUCAAGAUAAUUAAAGUACC